rnacentral:rRNA from 1 species
UAGGGAAUCUUCCACAAUGGGCGCAAGCCUGAUGGAGCAACACCGCGUGAGUGAAGAAGGUUUUCGGAUCGUAAAACUCUGUUGGUAGAGAAGAACGUUGGUGAGAGUGGAAAGCUCAUCAAGUGACGGUAACUACCCAGAAAGGGACGGCUAACUACGUGCCAG